ACCUGCGUAGCUCAGCGGCAGAGCACCGGUCUUAUAAGCCGAGGGUCGCGGGUUCGAAUCCCGCCGCAGGUACCA
rnacentral:tRNA from 2 species